AACUACAAAGGAAUUGACGGGGCCGCACAAGCGGAGGAGCAUGUGGUUUAAUUCGAUGAUACGCGAGGACCUUACCUGGGCUUAAAUGCUUAAUGACGUACUGGGAAACUGGUAUUUCUUCGGACAUUUUGCAAGGUGCUGCAUGGUUGUCGUCAGCUCGUGCCGUGAGGUGUCGGGUUAAGUCCCAUAACGAGCGCAACCCCUAUUGUUAGUUGCCAUCAGGUCAUGCUGGGGACUCUAACAAAACUGCCCGCGUAAGCUGCGAGGAAGGUGGGGAUGACGUCAAAUCAGCACGGCCCUUACGUCCAGGGCUACACACGUGUUACAAUGGCCAGUACAGAGGGCAGCCACCCCGCGAGGGGGCGCUAAUCCUAAAAGCUGGUCCCAGUUCGGAUCGGAGUCUGCAACCCGACUCCGUGAAGCUGGAUUCGCUAGUAAUCGCGCAUCAGCCACGGCGCGGUGAAUACGUUCCCGGGCCUU
rnacentral:rRNA from 1 species